GAUGAACGCUGGGGGCGUGCCUAAUACAUGCAAGUCGAGCGAAUAGACCAUGAGCUUGCUCUGCUGACGUUUGCGGCGGACGGGUGAGUAACACGUGGAUAACCUACCUAUAAUACUUGGAUAACUUUGAGAAACCGGAGCUACUACCGGAUAAUAUAUUGAUCCACAUGGUUGAUUAGUGAAACACGGUGUUUCUGUCACUUAUAGUGGCAUCCGCGCCGCAUUAGCUAGUUGGUAAGGUAACGGCUUACCAAGGCAACGAUGCGUAGCCGACCUGAGAGAGUGAUCGGCCACACUGGAACUGAGCCACGGUCCAGACUCCUACGGGAGGCAGCAGAAGGGAAUCUUCCGCAAUGGGCGAAAGCCUGACGAAGCGACGCCGCGUGUGUGAUGAAGAUCUCCGGAUCGUAAAACUCUGUUAUUAGGGAAAAACAAAUGUGUCAGUAACUACGCACGUCUUGACGGUACCUAAUAAGAGAGCCACGGCUAACUACGUG
rnacentral:rRNA from 1 species